CGCGGACGGCACAUGAUACUGCGAGACUAGAGUAAUGGAGGGGGAACCGGAAUUCUCGGUGUAGCAGUGAAAUGCGUAGAUAUCGAGAGGAACACUCGUGGCGAAGGCGGGUUCCUGGACAUUAACUGACGCUGAGGCACGAAGGCCAGGGGAGCGAAAGGGAUUAGAUACCCCUGUAGUCCUGGCAGUAAACGGUGCACGCUUGGUGUGCGGGGAAUCGACCCCCUGCGUGCCGGAGCUAACGCGUUAAGCGUGCCGCCUGGGGAGUACGGUCGCAAGAUUAAAACUCAAAGAAAUUGACGGGGACCCGCACAAGCGGUGGAGUAUGUGGCUUAAUUCGAUGCAACGCGAAGAACCUUACCUGGGCUUGACAUGUAAUGAACAACAUGUGAAAGCAUGCGACUCUUCGGAGGCGUUACACAGGUGCUGCAUGGCCGUCGUCAGCUCGUGUCGUGAGAUGUUUGGUUAAGUCCAGCAACGAGCGCAACCCCUGUUGCCAGUUACCAGCACGUGAAGGUGGGGACUCUGGCGAGACUGCCCAGAUCAACUGGGAGGAAGGUGGGGACGACGUCAGGUCAGUAUGGCCCUUAUGCCCAGGGCUGCACACGUACUACAAUGCCCAGUACAGAGGGGGCCGAAGCCGCGAGGCGGAGGAAAUCCUAAAAACUGGGCCCAGUUCGGACUGUAGGCUGCAACCCGCCUACACGAAGCCGGAAUCGCUAGUAAUGGCGCAUCAGCUACGGCGCCGUGAAUACGUUCCCGGGUCUUGUACACACCGCCCGUCACAUCAUGGAAGCCGGUCGCACCCGAAGUAUCUGAAGCCAACCGCAAGGAGGCAGGGUCCUAAGGUGAGACUGGUAACUGGGAUGAAGUCGUAACAAGGUAGCCGUAGGAGAACCUGCGGCUG
rnacentral:rRNA from 1 species